rnacentral:tRNA from 1 species
GGUUUUAUAGUGUAGCGAUUAGCACAUCUGCUUUACAUGCAGAAGGUCCUGGGUUCAUGCCCCGUGGAGCCA